rnacentral:snoRNA from 1 species
UAACUUGUGAAAAUCAAACCCUGUCUAUAUCCUAGCCUUAUGUCAAAAGCUUGUGAUGUGUUAUGAUAGCUGUGCUUCAGAAGUACGAUAUUAAAACAAAAUUUUAAAUCUUUUAAGCCCAGUGUAAAAAGAUAUACUCUGAGUUAUAACUCAAAGGAACACCU